UUAGAGAACUUUUUAUGAAGCGUGCCUAAAUUCUGCUGUUUUGUUACAGCUCACUGAAGAUAGCAUGUAUCUUCUGAAAAAAGAAUCCCCUUGAAAGGAACACUGUGACUGUGCCACCCCAUCACCACAUGGUGCUCCAGAUCUAACAUCCAUGUGUUGCGCUUGCUUUAUUCACUAAACAAAACUUUAGUGCCAGCCGUGUGAACAUCAUGGCUGUGUGCAGGAAAAUGACAUGACAUCAUGGACAGCUUUUCAGUGCAUGGACUCUCUUUAUGUGUGUGAUGCACAAAGGAAGUAUGGGCAGCUGCACAUUUAGCAUGUAGCAGCUGUGCAUCAUGGGACUCAUAAAUGUAUUGUAAAACCAUGUAGGAUGUGUGUGUAGCCCUUCUGUUUUGAAGUGUAGUUUUUUAAAACACCCUGAGGGUAGGGGGAGCAUUUGGAAUGAGCUACCCCUGCCUUGGGCUUAGAAUUUGUAGGGUCUGAUUUUUUCAUGUGCAUUUCUGUUAGCUCUGCUGCAUGCCAUAUUGUUGCCUGUUGUUUUGUUGGAAUAGCUAUUCUUUCUGUGAAGCUAAAGCAAAAGUUUAAAAAAAUCUUCACACCUCAGAGUUUCUACUAGUUGUUUGAAAACUAGCACCAAGGCACCAUUGAUUAAAAGGGCUUUUUCAUAGCUUUCUAUCUGAUAUGGCAUUUAUUUUCCAAGCAGCUCAGGCAUUUUUGUCAAAAGAAAAGUGAUAAAGCAGUCUGUUGGAAUUGGAUAAAAGAGAGUUUUUCAAUUCAUGUUUUUUCUGUUUGUGUCUGCCACUGAGAUGGUGACUAAAGCUAGAAAAUAGUACUUUAUCAAUGUCAACUGGAGUUCAUAACUGGAUUUUAUUGAAGUGACUUAGUUUUUAGCCAUUUCAAAGGAAGUCAGUCAUCUCCAGAACUUGAAAUUAUAUAUGCUGAUACUAUCAAAGAACAUAUAUGAAGAUGGAAGUUGAUGUUUCUGGAAGUGUUUCCUGGAAACUCAGCAGAGACUUUUUGGUUCAAUUUAGAAUAGAAAUUUCUCAUUUUAUGAGAAACAUCAAGUGCCAUUGUAGAAAGAUGGCAUAUUGAAAGCUAAUCCCAUCUUGGUUCCAUUCAUUAGUUUCACUCCUAGAAGAACAAGGCAUCAGUGUGUCACACCAUUGGUUCUUCUUCAGUCAGAGCAUUGUCCUCUCAGUUAAAAUCAAUUACAAAUCUAUGCUGAAAUGGCAAGCCUUCUUCAUGUGAGAUUUUAAAAGUAUGAUACAGUUUCAUAGGCACAUCAAAAUAUCUCUUUAAACAAAUUAUUUGUGAAUCAUACCAACUUUGAAGGGAAAGAAUACUAAUGAAAGGCAUAUUUUAAAAAUAACAGAAUUUAUGGGAGAGUGACAAAACAGAUUUGCUUAGUAUUUAUUUAUUUAUUUAUUUAUUUAUUUAUUUAGAGUAUUUGUAUGCCAUCCCAUCGCAUAGCCUUAUCUUGGAAAAGGUUGAACAAAAAUUGAUAUGUUUAAUUAACAUUGGAAUCAGGUUUAUCAAGUCAAGUAUUACAGAAAAUUGAUUAAUUCAGUUCCCAAAAAAAUCUUACAAGAUUAAAUAUUAGAAAUUUGUCAAGCACAAACAUAAUGCUGGUUCCCAAUAAAUCUCAUAUUUGCAGUUAGCUUUACUCAUGCCUUUGACAUGCAUACAUAUAUAUUAUUUCUGCCUUUGCUUAUCAUAUUUGACCAUGUCAUAGCACUAUUUCUGCACUGAUUGCAUCUAUGGGUGAUAGUGUCCAGGGAUUGCAUCUAAAUCACAUUUAGAAGGUCAGCCAUGGAAAUGACUUUGUAAACCCUGAUUUGACAAAAUGAAUACUAAUACAGGCAGAACCAAAGGCUGCUUAAACACAAUUUAUUUUAUUUAAUCUAACCUAAUCUAUUUCUCUUUCAUACUCAUAUAUAUAUUUACACAUCGGGGGGAGGGGGUUAGAGCUUUGGUGUGUUCACUCUACAACCUCUGAAUAACUGGAUGCUUAUAAUAAAACAUUCCCAAUUAUCCCUGGGUUUAUUAUGGCUCAUAAAAGCUUCUGCUGCAUCUGAUGGAAAAGUUACUUUCUGCUAUCACAAGGGAGAAAGUGUUGAAUCUAAGUGUCACAAUAGAAUGAAAUACAUGCCGGGGGUAUAUUAGCCAUUGCAACAAGAACUGAAUUUAGUUUGGAACUUAAUGUGUUCAGUUUCAACAGUCUGGGUUUACCCUUUCCUUCACUAAACUAAUUUACACACGUGGGCAUGAUAAGGGAUAAAAAUGAAACUAAAUCAGCUUUCCUUUCUUGGCCAUCAAAUGAAUAGAAAAAGGAAGAGACGACUAGCAAUGCUGGAUUGGCUAAUAUGCUGUCACUCCUCCUAGGUUAUAAGUAGCUUUCAUUUGCUGACAACAGACCAUGUGUUAAGAAGGGAGUGAAGCAAAUAUUCAGUCUCAGUGAGUAAACAAGCUAGGAAAUAGUGCAGCUGCGCUUUUCAAAUACGCACUGCAGGAGAUUUCAGCAAGCUGAUGAUAUAUUGUGCAUUAAUGUUGAAAAAAUAAACAGAUUUGGCGAGCGCAGGAUGGGCCUUGUGCUUUUACACUGGCAGAAUGCUUCCUAAUGAAUAAGAAUGUGCUGCUGGCCUCACACGACCAUAUGGCAGACUGCUAAGUUUAGUUCAGUGCAGAUGCAUAUUGCUUCCUAGUUCGCCUCCUAAAACCUUUCUGUGGUGAUCUGCACUUCAUCUCUUAGUUUUGAACAGCGAAGGUGCCUGUUGAUCUUGUGGCACCUUCAUCUGCAAAGUGGAUGGAAGUCCUUCCUGAAUCAGAAGAAAAUCUACAGUGCUGAGGCAGGGACUAGCAUUCAGUCCUGUCUAUCGAUUUUCUUUGUCUGAUGGCACUAUAGUUGCUGCCCAAACGAAGAACAAGCUCAUCCGUUCUCAGACUACUUGUGAACCUCAGCUUGUAAUAUCCUUGCAUAUGCUUCACAGAUGCAGAACAUUAGUGCCUUGCCAUUUUCUCCAUCCUCAGCAAAAUGAUAAGACCAACAUCUAGCAUAUUGGAGGCAUUUCCACAUUGCAAGUUCUACUGAGGAAAAACUCAAAUACUGUCAAAUGAAUUAUGCAUUUUCAAAUACUAUAAGGAUGACAAAACAUAUUCUUGUACCAUAAGUCCUCUUUCUGUUCCUUCCGUAACACCAACAUCAUCACAAAGAGUUUCCCUAUCAGCAACAGCUUCUCAAGUAAAUGAAGAUUGAAAACAACUGCAUCCAAAGAAAUAGUUAAUAACUUCAUUUGUAGAUAAGAUGACAGCUGAAGAUCAGGAGAAAAGUAACCAAGAUCUUGCAUAUGCAGUAUGAUCUUCUGAACUCCACUAUCAAUAGCAGAAAAUGCAUAUUGGUAGGAACCUAUUAAAUUACUAUCAUAAAGUUCGCCCAGCAUACAUUCUUUGAGCAAACCUCUUUUACAGGCAGAAUAUGAACCUAUAAUAGAAUCUGUACGGGGGAAAAUCAACAAAGUACUGAUUCAGCACUUAAAGGUUGAUGGAAGGAAGGAAGAACCAUAAACUUCAUGGUAACAAUACCAACUUUUUUACAAAAAUGUUGAAAAGGGAGGGAAGGGAUAUACUGCAGAAUAUAUCAGUUGUUGAAUAUGUGCAGUCCUACAGAAAAUGUUGAAUAGUAAAGCAUUUGCUCUGCUGACUGACAGUACAAGUAAUAUGAAAACAGCAUGGGGAAGCAUUGAGAUGAAGUAUCUACAUAUUAGUGCAAUUGGCUAAACCUGCUUUUUAAUGGCAUCGUGAAACUGGACACCCUGGAAAAGAUCUAUGGACAAGCAAAAGAAGUUAGAAAGUAUGUACAAUCUACUUAAAUCAUAUCUUCAGUCUUCAAAUAAAGUAAGAGGAAAAAUGCAAAGAAAAAAAUAGUGACACUGAAGCUUUGUAGUAAAACACAGCAGGCUGAAGUUUUAAAUAUGGGAUCUCCUUUGAAAAUUAGUGCUUUAUAUUUGCUUAACAAUGUGAAAGAGAAGCUAGGGGCAACAUAAUUUUCUUUGUUUUACUAAUAUUGAUGGUUUCCUCUGUGUUUUGCCUGGUCCUCAUGAACUGGAAAAUCCAAAGAGGUUCCUUACAGUUCAGGACACAAACAAAAUAAAUAAAAAAUUAAGAGUAAAUUCAAUUUUAAUUAUUAUCCAAAUAAACUCUGCUUUUAAUAUGCCAAGCUUGAUAAUUUUAUGCCAUCUAAAUUGUACUUUUAUGUUUCUAAGUAACAAAGUUACUUCUGAUCUGUAAAAGGUGCUAAUAUCACAUUUUGUUGUUUUGAAAAUAAUAAAUUUUAUUUAAUUUAUUA